UACGUAGGGUGCGAGCGUUGUCCGGAAUUAUUGGGCGUAAAGAGCUCGUAGGCGGUUUGUCGCGUCGGCCGUGAAAACUUGGGGCUUAACCCCAAGCUUGCGGUCGAUACGGGCAGACUUGAGUUCGGCAGGGGAGACUGGAAUUCCUGGUGUAGCGGUGAAAUGCGCAGAUAUCAGGAGGAACACCGGUGGCGAAGGCGGGUCUCUGGGCCGAUACUGACGCUGAGGAGCGAAAGCGUGGGGAGCGAACAGG
rnacentral:rRNA from 1 species